CAGUCGCCGCGGUAAUCCGUAGGGUGCAAGCGUUAAUCGGAAUUACUGGGCGUAAAGCGUGCGCAGGCGGUUAUAUAAGUCAGAUGUGAAAUCCCCGGGCUCAACCUGGGAACUGCAUUUGAGACUGUAUGGCUAGAGUGUGUCAGAGGGGGGUAGAAUUCCACGUGUAGCAGUGAAAUGCGUAGAGAUGUGGAGGAACACCGAUGGCGAAGGCAGCCCCCUGGGCCAAUACUGACGCUCAUGCACGAAAGCGUGGGGAGCAAACAGGAUUAGAUACCCGUGUAGUCCCUGUCUCUUAUAC
rnacentral:rRNA from 1 species